rnacentral:rRNA from 1 species
AUUUCCGGCUUUCCUCCCCGAUUCACCGGAUGCAGCGAUUUCAGUGACUUGAGCGCCGGCGGCGGAGCACGUGGAGCUGACGGCGACGUGGGAGGCGGGGAGGUCCUUCACACGUGCACAUCCGUAAGUGUGCCACCGGCUACUUUCUGCCCGCGCGUUAUCCAGAGACAGCGGCGUCGCGGCGGCGAUGCCCACGCUCGGCGGGGGUUCUGCGGGAUCUGGACACGGCGUCAUCAAGGGGAAGAAAGGGAACGCGAUUGCUGACAGUAAUGACCCUGCUAGAGCGUUUGCAAACAAGUUUAGAGUCACAUAUGGAAAGGACGAGUCUGAGGCGAAUUCUGAAGAUUGGAAUAGCAUUCUCUCCAUAGAAAAGAUGCUGAGCCUUCCUCCUGAUCGUGAACCGAAGGAGUAUUUCACGGAAUUGGACCAAAAUCUGUAUAAAGUAGUCAAAACCAUUGAAGGAAGGAAAUUGGAACCCAAGAGAGAAAGAUUGGUGAAGGACCUACGACUUUUGAUAGAGCAGUUCCUUGAGAUGAUGGAAACUGGCGUAUUUCUCAAUGAGGACAGACAGAGAGCAGCUUUGCAAGCAAAAGACUGGCUCGAGAAGAAGCUGAAGGUGCAGAGCUCGGUUCCAUUAUAUGAAGAUCCUGUCCUAAAAUGUUCUGAUUUAGACAGGUGGAUUAAAAAUCUAUCAUCUAGGAAGAACUCUUGAGGCUUGCAUUGGAAGAUUUUGAGAAUGUGCGAAUUGAGGAAUUAUCUUUAAACCCAAGCCAAGAAGGUGCUCUGAGCAAUUUUAUCAACUACUUCUGUGAUCGGUUGUGUGACCAUAAACAGCGAUUUACAUAUAAACAUGAAGAGCAUACUUGCCGCCUGUUAGAAUUUCAGAGACCUAAUAAACAGCCACCGAGAUGGAUGUUGAUUAAAUUGAUAAAAGAUGCUGCCCGAGCCGGUAUUUACAUGAGAAGUGAUAAUCUAUACCUUUCUGCUUUUAGUAACAAAGAUGAUGAAAUCUUUGAGCUUGUGACGCAUCCUUCUUACCGAAUAAUCAAAGAUUCUAUUCCAUUCGGAUGUAGCACGGAGUACCCCAGCAUGAUGAACUAUGAAAGAACUAAAUAUGUUCCAGCAGAUCAAACUGAGAAGAGGUUGCUGGAGAUAAUUCUUAACAUGGAUAAAUUUGAACAUGGCGUUGAAGUGCUGUCAAAUUAUGACCAUGCCAUUAUGUCAGAUCCGCUUGUGAGCCAGGAUGUGAGACAACAAAAGAUUCAAGAAGUCCAAGAGGCUUUAGCUCGAAAGGCAGUGGUUCUAGGGGAAGUUUCCCGCAUUGUAGAGUUAUUCUUAUCUGUGAUUCAGAAAUGGAAGGAAGGCCGUUCAUUCCUUACAAAACUGUUGUUUGAGUAUAUGAUGCAUUGGAAAGUUAUGUCAGAUAAGGUUCGCAAUGGUAGUGUUGAUGAUCAGUUUAGCAAAGAAAUUGAGUCUGUAAUCUUGCUGAAGUUCAGAUCUGAUGCAAUUAAGCUUCUCAAUGUGGUGUGCAACUCCAAGGGGCCUGGACUUGAUAAGAAGAGACCCACGGAACCUGGUGAUGAUGACAAAGGAUCAGAGGAUCCUGGUGAUGAUGACAAAAGAUCAGAGGAUCCUGGUGACGAUGACAAAGGAUCAGAGGAUCCUUGUGACAAUGACAAAGGAUCAGAGGUUCCUGGGUCAAGCUAUGGACUGACUGGUCACGAUAAGGAUAAGAAAGGAAACAGACCUGGAUCUGAACCAUUUGAUAGUUGCGAUGUCAACCUGGAGGGUGGCCGUGAGGGUGGAGAACAGAAGAACUAUAAUGAUAGCAUGCCAGGGAUAAGCUCUAGACCACUUGAUAGUUGUGAUGUCAACCUGGAGGGUGCCCGCGAGGGUGGAAAACAGAAGGAGAAUGAUAGCAUGCCAGGGACAAGUGACAUGAGCAAAAUCGCAAUAGCUUUCAUGCUAGGAUUGGCUGUUAACAAGAACUUGCUCGAGCCUUUGAUCAGGAAAAGAAGUUUAGAACCUUUCGUCAUCACAAAAAAAGGGGUGAACUUCUCAAUCAUCAGCCGAAGGAGUGUGGAACCUUUGCCAUUGCUACCUGGUUCUCCAGGAUCUGAACAUGCAACUGGUUUGGGUCAAGUGCUGCCAUUAAUACCAGAUUCUUCAAUGUCUUUACAUGGACAUGGUCUGGAUCCGCUGCUGCUGCCAGGGACAAUUCCACGUGGCCCUGCUGUCAGCUCGUUUGGACGGUCUUUACAUGGACAUGGUUUGGAUCUGAUUGUGCCGAGGAUGCUGCCAUGGAUAAUUCCACCUGUCCUUGCUGUCAGCUCUUCUGGACGUGGAUUGGAGAUGGUUCUAGAGCCGAGCCGCUAUAAAACUCCUGAUUUUUCCUUGAUUUCUUUAGACGAACCAGAUCUGGGUGAGGCGCAAGAACGGAUCAGUGCUAGUGGGAGUUCGAGUGCUAGUGGGAGUUCGACCGAGGAAGAUAUGGUUAGCUUCUUCCAGGAAUUUAUCUCCUCGGAAUCAUAUCCUCUUUCUACAGGCCAGACACUUCUUGAAAUUUUCUGUAUCCACACAAACUUGAGCUUGAUAAAGACUAUUGUUCUGUAUGAUGAUCGAGGUGGUAAUCUUAUCUAUGAGUCCAAGAAAGGAGAAAAGGAGCAGUUUAUCAAAAGACGCUCUAAUUGGUUGUCCGAGCAUACAGGAAAAAAACAAUCCGCUUUCAUUGAUUGCCUUGUUCUUGAAGGCCCAAGCCGUCCUAUGACUGCUCAUGCAGACUUGUGGAUCGUUCAAAUUGAUGUGCCAGCUGAAUCAUCUUUUAUUAAGCUUGAAGAUGAAGAUCCUGAAGUACCCGGGAGUGUAUUUGAGGCCACAUUACUGUUGGAUGAUGAUUACAUUGACAAAACCAAUAGCAGUUUGAUUUCUUUGAGAGGUGGCUUUCUGAAUAUUACAUUGGUGACUUUCAGCAAUGCAGUGUCAUCAUCAGUCAGAUUGGCAUUUCAUGUUUCUCCUAUUAGCAGUUUUGGUGAUUGCCCUAAAGUGGAGGGUGACCUUGCAUUAUAUGUUGAAAAUUAUCCAGUUGGUUUCAGUAUCUUGAAGAAUCAAGUCGAGGAUGAUGCUGUACAUUUGGUGAGACUGGGUCCUUCUGUUUUCGAACUUCCCUUGACAAGGCAUGUUCUUGCACUGCCCAUUGGUUCUACUGUACAUGUCUUAGGGACUUUGAAACUACCAAGUUUGGAAGUGUGUGUGGAUCAGCAUUUGCGGCUCGACAAGAACGUUAUUCGGGCUGAAUGGCAUAUGGAUUCUAGCGUGAGUGCUGCUAUAUGGAUUGAGUCAAGUUCAUGUUUCUAGACUCUCCACCGCACAACAGUUCGUGCUCUUGGUCCACUUCCUACAUCUUGCUGCAUGUACAUGCUUGCUCUCGAAUUGGAGGAGUGCCACAGAGAAUAACACACUUUUUGCUUGCCCGAUUGCUAAUUGACAUGUUGGAUUCAUAUGAACCACGGCUUGGAUCUGUUGUGCUUCUGGAAUUCCUGAAUCAGUUUGAAGAGGCAGAGAAGAUUGUAAUUUCUUUAGUGUAUUUUGGUGGUGUGUAGAAACAGUAGCUACUUUGACUAGCUCGGUCUAGUUUGGCAUGUAAGGUGUUAAAAUCCUUGCCUACUCAUUACUAGUGCCGAAGUGCGUGACGGUGAGAACACCCAUCUGAACUUUUUAUUGUUGGUUUGGUUAAAGGUACGAAAUGAAGAGUGGAGUGAACCGGUUGUAAUUUUUGUUCGGGAAUUGACGGCCUGCAUGGCAUGCCAUGCCAUGGUAAAGGAAUGGAAAAAGAAAAAGAUAAGACACUAGAAAAAGAAGUACUAAUAGUGGGAAUCUGUAGCUAGUUUAGUGUCAUUUUUGUUUAUUUGGCAAUCAAGUGAUCAGCGAC